CCUGCAGGUCGGGCAGCCGCGUCCUUUCUCAUUGCAGACGGGAUGAGGAAAGUCCGAACUCCGCAGAGCAAGGUGCCCCGUGAAGAACGGGGGGUCCGCCGGCGCAAGCCGGCAGAUACGGAGAGUGUCACAGAAAACAUACCGUCACGUCUUUCCCCCGGGAGGGACGCGAUAAGGGUGAAAAGGCGAGGUAAGAGCUCACCGCCCUGUCAGCAAUGACAGGGGCAUGACAAACCCCACCUGGAGCAAGACCAUGUAGGAGAGGAGAAGCUGCUCGCUUCAAUGUCCGCGGUCGGGAUCUGAUCCCGGCGGCGGCGUAACUCUCGGGUAGGUCGCUCGAGUCCUCCGGUAACGGCGGACCCAGAUAAAUGGUUGCCUCCCCCGUUCGGGGAAGACAGAAUUCGGCUUACAGACCUGCACUGUUC
rnacentral:RNase_P_RNA from 1 species